UGAUGUUCAUCGGAUUUGCAGAGUGAUGACUACCCCCGCCAGCAAAUUAGAUAAAGGAUUUAAGUUAUAUGCUGCAUCAUAUAUACACAACUACGAAGAUUAAGCUUCUGGAUUCAUCGCCGGUGGUACUGACACAUAGCCAGUGCUCCUGUGUGGCAGGUGCUGUUAUGUGCAAUCACACAGUGGCACUGCUCUUCCAAACAGCACACUACUCACAACUCAGAGUGCCGGUUGUCCCCCUGUGCAUAGCUGCACCGAAUCUGAACAGCAAUGGCACAAGCCACGGACAGUGGGUGUGAAGCCAGGACAUAUUAACUCUAUCAUCUUGUGG